rnacentral:lncRNA from 1 species
AGUAGGUUAAUGAGAACGACGACAUGUAUCUGAAAGAAUCUACUUCCUCGGGAUUUAUCUUUCAACGAUAACAUUUUGUUUGAUCCUGUGAGGGCGAAAGGAGGGGAGCUACGAUCACGGACGACCGUGAUUGCGACGGUCUAAUGCUUGGCGAACAAAUUGAAAAAUAUUUGCCGCUCAUUAAGCCUUGGUCCCACCACGGGAGUUACCGGACCUGUAACCUGUGUAAACGUUUGUAACGUUCUUGUGAUACCAAAUAAACUGCUAAUCCACCGAAAAGGAUUAACAUAAGUCCGAUUACAUUAAUUAAUAUUGCUUCGUCUACAAGAUUUUGAUAAU